rfam:Hordeum vulgare subsp. vulgare, WGS project CAJW01000000 data, contig: morex_contig_158818
CUUAUACUCUCUUCGUCGGGAAUUACUUGUCACACAAAUGGAUAAAAUGGAUGUAUCUAGAAUUAAAAUACAUCUAGAUACAUUCAUCCUUUUGACAAGCAUUUCUGGAUGGAGGGAGUAUUUA